CAGCCAAAGGACUAGUGUUAAUAGAGUUGCAGGCACACUAGAGACCAAGCCGAUAACAUCAGUCAAAAGGGAAGUUAUACGAUCAUUCUUAAUUGAAAAAGUCCUACCUGCUAUCAAGGAAAAAUGGUCAAGAGAGGACAUAAAAUAUCCAAUAUUUAUUCAACAAGACAAUGCAAGAACACACAUUGAUCAAAAUGAUGAUGAAUUUUGCCGAGCAACUACACAAGAUGGAUUUGAUAUUCGUUUGAUGUGUCAACCUGCAAACUCUCCAUAUUUGAAUGUUUUAGAUCUUGGGUUUUUGGGUUUUUUAAUGCGAUUCAAUCCUUGCAGUAUAAGGAGUCACCUACAACCGUUGAUGAGCUUGUUAAUGCCGUUGUGAAGUCAUUUGAAACUUUUCCUACAAUAAAGUCUAAUCGUAUAUUCUUAACAUUGCAAUUGUGUAUGAUAGAAAUCAUGAGAGCAAAAGGUUCCCAUAAAUACAAGAUCCCGCAUAUUAAUACAGCAAUGCUAGAGAGUGAAGACCAGCUUCCUACUCAAAUGAAAUGCGAUCUUUCAUUGGUAGAAGAAGUUCUAAAUUAUUUAAGUUAAAUUUUGUAAAUUUGUCAGUGUAGAGGAGUGGAGUCUAUUUUGGAAUGAAUUUUUGUUGCAAGAAUUUUCCCUUUUGAUAUGAUAGAUAUUUUAAGAAUUUUUGGAAUAAAUUUUGCAAGAAUUUUUGUCUGGUCCAUUUCUUUCAACUCCAGGGGUCUCUUAGCCAUGAAAAAGCAGCCACUUCCAAUUCAUGGAAUGAUAUGUUCAAAAUCCUGAUUGGUGUUAAGUUUCGGUGGUUGAAUCAAAUGGGUUAAUUAGCUUAUCUUUUAAUUAGAUUUGCACACAAGGUUUGAACUAGAUUACCUUAUCUUUGGUGUUUGCAGUACUGUAUGUUUGUACUCCUAGUUCAUCACCUUCUUCAUUUCAGUUUUACAUUUUCAUGGUUGAAAUAAUGCCAGAAGGUUAAUAAUGAUUUGUAAUUCCUGGCUUAAUAAGUUUAUGUCUAUAUAUACAAUCAUUCGCUACUUCUGGCCAUUUUGAUGUUUGUUUACUUCUAAUUCAAUGUUAUUCCUUAUAAGCUCUGCAAGAGAAUUAGCGAGUUACAGUUUGAAUAUGACAUCACAUCUAGAGACCAAAGCUUUUCAGUUACAAAAUUUAUUUAGGUAGGCAAUGUUUCUUUCCUGUUGGCAUCAUUAAUGAAGAGCUAAAAUAUGUUUUGCAGAGCAACAAAGAAAAAAUAAACCUACAGGUUCAGGGAUAAAAAAUCAAGCUUCAUGCAUACAUGAUAUUCCUAGUAAAAUUUGGGAAGAUAAAUAUUUAACAUGAUUCUGACCACUUGUUGGAGUUCUUUUUCUUGAAAAGCUUCUUCUCCUUCAUCAGGAAACUUGUUCAAAUCAAAUUCGUCGGGUAGCUGGUUCAAAUCAAAUCUGUGAUGAAGGAGAAAUCUGGUGCACCUUUCUUCUUUUUUGGAGAAUCCAAAUCCAUAGUCUUCAUCUUCGGCCAUUUUUUCUUUUCAGAGAUAUGUAAAAGCAUUUGCAAUAUCAGAUAUAUAUUGAUUACCACUGUUAUGAAUAUGUAUUGGGAAGGAAAGGAAUAUGAAAGGGUAGCCUACAACUAAUCUAAUGCAUUGAAAAAACUAAUUAUUGUGUGCAUUAAUUACACUCUUAUUAGAAAAGAGGGAUAAAGGUAAAUUUGGAAAAAAAAAAUAUUUUGAAAUAACUCAAAGGGUGUAAAACGUCAGUUAAUAUGGAAUGGAGGGAGUAUUUUUUUUCAUUCAAUAAAAUUAAGUCAUUACUUUUCUGUCUUGAUUCUUGGAAUCCAAACAUAGCAGAAUAUUGGAACUUAGGGAGUAUCAUAUCUUCUUGAUGUUGGUUGCCAUGGAGUAUUAUAAUAGAUAGAUUUAGGGACAGAAUUUUGUGCAGUGUAGAGUAGCAAUCUCUCUCUUUUUGCUACACUAUUAAUUAUUGAUAAAAACUGGACUUCAAUUCUCUCUCUGUACCCAAGUUAAGAAUAGCUCACAAGGCUUGUACUAGUUAGUUGUCCAUUGGAGUAUUAUUUUUCCAUAAUCUAUAAGAAUUUCCAACUUAUCAUGAUACAUAUCCCACUAAACAUCAAUCUCUAGAAGAAACUUCAAUUACAAAUUGAGAGACUUUAGCUCCAUGUUAGAAGCAGUGUCUCUUUAAAACUUGAGUCAACGUAGAAUUUUGAAUUUUUCACUGUACAUAUCUUUUCUUUUGAGUCUUGAUUAGACAAGCCCGAGAUGUUGAUUCACAAGUUGCCUAUAAUAUGAUGUUCUGCGCAGGAAUAUAAAAAUUUUGUACCACCUAGUACCUGCGUGUCCCAAUUUUAUGGACUCCUGUCCUUAAUCAAGAUGGGCGUAAAUGAAUGGAGUUGAGCCGAGUAUUGAGUUGUUCAUUCCAAGCACCUAUUGCAAUAAAAAGGAGAUUUACAUAACUAUGAUCAAACAUUUUAAGGGGAUGUUUAUAUAAUCCACAAUUAGCAAAGUUUUGUGGAUUUUACGUGUUCACAUAAAUCAGGCAUUAAUCAACAAAAAAUUGGAAAUGCGUAAUGCACAGAAUGACCUAUGAUCAAAGUGAACCAGCAAUAUGGUACUUCAAACCUGCUUAACUCAGCAAUUUACAGCCCAAUAAAAUGAUCUGUAUUUCCAGCUAGGGGAUAAUCCAUUAAGCUAGCAUUGCAAGCUAGCAUACUGCAAUGGUAAAGUUCUUAGAAAAGGGAAGUAGAGAGUUGAGAUUCUUAUUUUCAGGCAAAUAUCAUUAAUUGGUGAUUGAAGAUCAUUAUACUCCUUAACACCAUAUAUAACACCCUCGGCAAGUUUUAGCAAUGAUGCCAAAAGACUGUCAACUAGCUCUUUAAUUUGGCUCUUUCCUUUCUUCGUUAGACCUGUAAACUUCUUGUUUAUAAAUAUAUAAGGCUUCAACAUCUUAAUUUCAAGACAUUUAAUUAAUGGACUAAUUAAUCCUGCAUGCAGGGUAUUAUGACAAUGUUAACUUUUUUUUUAAAGUGAUAAUAUCAAUUUAGAACUUUGAAUCUAGAAAUGAUGUUGAACCUCCAUCCCAAGGAAGUAGUAAUAUAGAGCAAAUUAGCUUUGCUUAGAAAUCAUCAACAAUCAUUUUAAAUUCUUUUGACACCAUAUACUGCCCGAAAUAAAUGCUAAAAAAGUUUAGUUUGUACUCUAGACCCAAUCAUUUUACAGAAAAGACAACCAAGAAAAAAAUUACUCUAUACUUUCUUAAGACAGAUAGAAAGUCGUUUAAGACAAAUACAUAUACAGGCUGAAAAGUUAUAUGUGACUAAGGCGUGGAGCAGAAUUUCUUUAAUUCAUGAGUGGAUGCUUUAAUAGGCGGCUGGCUACUAUGCUAUUUAAAUGAGGAUGGAGAAUGUGAUCCAUGGAUGUUCAGAAGGUUUUGAUUUGAGAGUAAAUUAAUUAAUGGUCUCUUGGAUGGAGAAUUUCAGAAGGUUGUGAUCCAUGGAGAAUUUCUUUAAUCAGCUAGUGCAGCCUUACUAGCCAUGUCAACGAUCUCCUCCAUAUCUGCAUAAUACUUGCGAUUGUUCCCUUUCUCCUCUUAUUCAACAAAUACCUAGCUUAUAAUUAAUUAGUAUAGGCAUGCAUGGCCCAACCAUGUUUAUCAAAAAUUAAGGCUUAGACUUUAUUAAUGGAGAUUUGGCUUUCCUCAAAGCUAAGUGAAUUAUUGGAGGUCUUCCAGCCUCCUUUCAUUUGCAUAAAUUGUUAGUUUGAAAUGAUAAAUUGUUAGUUUGAUAGUGUUGUAACUUGUACGUGAUGAAAUUAUGAUGAUAACUUUUAUACUACUAUCAAUACAAAAAAGAGGACUCUUUCUUAGAACAAUAAAAUUAAUUUUGUGGCUUAUUUGAACUACCUAUUAUUAUGUCCAGCAAAAGUUAGUACGUACGUGUUAGGAAAAUCAGCAACAGAAUAGGCCAGUUGUGGUAUUCAAAAGUAAACCCAUGAAUCAACUCAGCACACAUAUAUUGACACAACUCAGAAGCUUCAUGACACUGCUGUAACUGUUCGGGAACGACUUAUUUAAAAAUACUUAUAAGUUCAAAUUUAAAAUCACUUAUUAAGUUGCGAUUUAUAAAGAUCGAUAUAUUAAUUAUAGGAUAAAUAAAUCAUAAAUGCAUGGGUGAUCCAAUUUCGUACUAAACCUUAACCUACAAACAUUAGUACUAAUUUAUGUCAAGUAGUUAACAGUAAAUUAAAGAAACCAACCCAUAUUCAAGAUGAACAAAUUAAAAAAAAAAAUACCAACUUAUUAAACUUCGCCGGAAUUGAAGAAAUGAUUUGCAAUUCUUAAGUUCAACUGUGCUGUGCGUGAGAGACGGAGUACCUCUUGAAAUUUCUGAAAAAAGAAACGCCAGCCCAUCAACAAGCAGGUGGCGUGGUGUGGUCAUUUGGUCAACCUCCAACCUUUCGCCCUCCGCAACACAAUCGAGCUCAGCACCGACGUGUUUGGUACUGGGAGAAACGAAGACAAACAUUUCUUAAUUCAUUUUAUUUUAAUUAGUAAUUACUAGUACACCAGUGGCAUGCGUUGAGUUUA
rnacentral:lncRNA from 1 species